GCAACGAAUGUGUUAGCAGGAAUAGUUGAUUUGGUUGCUUCUUUACAAAGAAACUAUAGUCAAAGCCUCUAUAUUAAUAUAUGACAAUCCUAUAAUGGACAAAAUUGUAUACUAUAAUAGUCAUCUGUAAUCAUGACACGGAUGCUAAUAUUUAACCUAUAAUUAUAAAUAUUAUUAUCAUUCAGAAAUUCUUAACUUUGAAUAUCUAAAACUUGUGAAAUGUUAUAUUGCUUUAACCAGUAGAAGUUAAAGAGUACCUCAAGAGCCCCAUUGUAC
rnacentral:lncRNA from 1 species